rnacentral:rRNA from 1 species
AUUGAACGCUGGCGGCAGGCCUAACACAUGCAAGUCGAACGAGUUGCGAACGGGUGAGUAACGCGUGGUAACCUGCCUCAUAGCGGGGGAUAACUAUUGGAAACGAUAGCUAAUACCGCAUACUGUGAGAUGGACCUGCGUUGUAUUAGCUAGUUGGUGAGGUAAAGGCUCACCAAGGCGACGAUACAUAGCCGACCUGAGAGGAUGACCAGCAACACUGGAACUGAGAAACGGGCCAGACUCCGACGGGAGGCAGCAGUGGGGAAUAUUGCACAAUGGGCGCAAGCCUGAUGCAGCCAUGCCGCGUGUAUGAAGAAGGCCUUCGGGUUGUAAAGUACUUUAAGCGGGGAGGCGUUACCCGCAGAAGAAGCACCGGCUAACUCCGUGCCAGCAGCCGCGGUAAUUC